CAGCAGCCACGGUAAUACGUAGGUGGCAAGCGUUGUCCGGAAUUAUUGGGCGUAAAGGGCUCGCAGGCGGUUUCUUAAGUCUGAUGUGAAAGCCCCCGGCUCAACCGGGGAGGGUCAUUGGAAACUGGGAAACUUGAGUGCAGAAGAGGAGAGUGGAAUUCCACGUGUAGCGGUGAAAUGCGUAGAGAUGUGGAGGAACACCAGUGGCGAAGGCGACUCUCUGGCCUGUAACUGACGCUGAGGAGCGAAAGCGUGGGGAGCGAACGGGAUUAGAUACCCCAGUAGUCCCUGUCUCUUAUAC
rnacentral:rRNA from 1 species